GACGAACGCUGGCGGCGCGCCUUACGCAUGCAAGUCGAACGCUGGACUUCGGUCCGGAGUGGCGGACGGCUGAGUAACGCGUAGGCAACCUGUCCCACAGCGGGGGAUAACCCGCCGAAAGGCGAGCUAAUACCGCAUACGCUCAUGGGGUGAGACUCCCCAUGAGGAAAGCCGCAAGGCGCUGAGGGAGGGGCCUGCGUCCUAUCAGGUAGUUGGUGAGGUAACGGCUCACCAAGCCUAAGACGGGUAGCUGGUCUGAGAGGACGGCCAGCCAGACGGGGACUGAGACACGGCCCCGACUCCUACGGGAGGCAGCAGCGAGGAAUCUUGGGCAAUGGGCGAAAGCCUGACCCAGCGACGCCGCGUGGGGGAAGAAGGCCUUCGGGUCGUAAACCCCUUUUGCCGGGGAAGAAGCUCUGACGGUACCCGGCGAAUAAGCCACGGCUAACUACGUGCCAGCAGCCGCGGUAAUACGUAGGUGGCGAGCGUUGUCCGGAUUUACUGGGCGUAAAGCGCGUGUAGGCGGACCGCUAAGUCCGGUGUGAAAUCUCCCGGCCCAACUGGGAGGGGUCAUCGGAUACUGGCGGACUAGAGGAGGGUAGAGGAAGGUGGAAUUCCCGGUGUAGCGGUGAUAUGCGUAGAUAUCGGGAGGAACACCAGUGGCGAAGGCGGCCUUCUGGGCCCAUCCUAACGCUGUGGCGCGAAAGCGUGGGGAGCAAACCGGAUUAGAUACCCGGGUAGUCCACGCCCUAAACGUUGGACACUAGGUGUGGGGGGUAUCGACCCCCUCUGUGCCGCAGCUAACGCAUUAAGUGUCCCGCCUGGGGAGUACGGCCGCAAGGCUA
rnacentral:rRNA from 1 species